CGAACUCUGUCUAUGUCCGUCAAACAAACGAGGAAGUAAUGGCGUCUCGCGUCGUUUCGCUUUCCGAUAUUCCUGACAAAUUAUCAUAAAUGUGACAUUACAAUGCGAAAAAAAUAGAAGUCAAAGGAAUUUGUAACUGGCUGCUACAUCGGAAGGCUCGAUAUAUCUUUAGAAAAUGACGAUAUCUAACAUUGACGGGGUGAAAUCUAUCCAAGUCAGAGAAAAUCGGAUAGCCGCCAUGUUGUCAACAUUGACAUCGAUACAAAGGAAAAGCGUGUGUGUGACGCAUACUGUAAAUGCAAACAAGGAAAUUGUGGAACAUGUUCACACACUCUGGCUGUAAAAGUAGACCUGGGAGGAAAAUUGCCCCCGGUGUGGGGCUCGAACUCACAACCACCAGAACACUAGCCCGGCGCUCUAACCAACUAAGCUGACCGGGCAGCUGGUUCUAACCCACACACACUACCCUCCCCCCAUUUACCGGUUAAGGCUGGUGGAGGGUCUCCUGCUAUUUACCGUUGACACCAUUAAAGUAUUCUGAUUGAUGGAGAUAAGGAAGUCCCCUUAUUGGCUUAUUAUUGUCUUCAACAAGCCUACCGCAACAGGGGACCUAGCAUAAGACCGGAAAAAGCCCCGCACCCCCCCCCCCACACACACAUGAUAUUUGCCAGUCCAGGCAAUGUCAACCGCAAGAGAAAACCAGUGAUGACAAGUUUUACAAAUAAUCGGAAAGUGUGGUCUUUUGAAGAGAGUUCUUGAAGUUGUUCAGCAUGUUGUUUUGAUGGAUUCUUAGAAGGAUGUACCUCUAUGAUGUUAGCUUCAGUUCUGGAUUAUAACACCAGUUGUUGCAUAUUUAAUAUCAGAUUUAUUAAAUACAUUGUUGUUUUGCAAACAUUACUUAAACUUUGAUAUUUCUUUGGUGUUUAUGUAUGAUAUUGUAGGUGAAUAUCUCUUUAUUGCAAUGGCAAAUAUAUUUUAAAAUAUAUAGCAUUAGCAGAAGUUAUUUUUCACUGUUAAAGCUGCACUUUCACAGAUUGAUCACUUUGACA